UUUAUCAGAAAUGAUGAACAUUACCAAGCAUUUUGGGAUCAUUGAAAAUAUUUCAUUGUGAUCCUAGUUGGAUUUCAUUUGGUGCUAGGGUUUGAACAUCCCCAUUUCAAGUUUAGGCAAAAUUUAAACAUGAUGCACACAUGAAGCUAGCCUAGUGCAUAGCAAGGCUAGGGAUGUGACAUAGUACGUGAUGCAAUAGUCGCUACGAAGAUAUUCAUGCCAGCCAUUUAUUACUAAAAGCAGAAGAAUCCUACUUCUUGAAUUUAUAUUCCAAUAGUCUGCUUCAGUCACUACCAAGAUUUAACUUAUGUUUUGGCACACUCUUGACAGGCCCGUUGAGAAAGGUGUGCGAGCGGUGCGACCGCACAGGUCCCAAAAUCGUAGGGGCCCCGAUCGGUGAAAAAAACAUAUACGAUCCGGUUCAUGCGCUGGAUGGCUGGUUUUUUAGCUGGCUCGUGUUAUCCUAUCGCAACAAAACUGCAGACGGAUGCACCAGAAGCGGAAACUCAUUACGUUGAGGCCCCUAGUUCCACUAAUCGCAGCCAAUAGGGCCCAGCCGGAUGUACGAGAUCAAAUAGAUAUGUCUCUGUCUUGGGAAAAAACAACUUCACGAAUAGGGAGACCCGUCUACCUGCUUCUAAGAACGGACGAGCCGCCGAUGGAUGGCGGAACGCCACGGCGAGUCCGCUGUACUGCCCUCCGUCGCCGGAUGUAUCCCUGCUGCGGCAGCCUCAUUUGGUCAUCCCCGAAUAUCUUCCUAGGCUUUUGAUGUCGUGGAUGGUAAAUGAGCAAAACAUACCAACUCAUUAUGUCCCAGAUUUAAGGCAUCCCUGUUUAGUGACUCCAUCCUGAUUCAGCUGGCUACAACACUUGAUCUGGCUGGAUGUCCACUAGAUUGUGGCUGCAGUGUGAAUUGUUUUCUUUCUUUUUUGGCUGUGAAUUCAUGCGUGGUUUGAUGGUAUGCCAUCUUCUCUGGACACAAUAGCUAAAAGCCCAUGGAAACAAAGCCAAGUGGUCAGUGGAAGUACUUUCUUGGAAGAAACAAAUGAAUCAUAGUUAUUUGCUUUCCGAAUCUGUUUAUUCUUCCAUCUUCUUGAUGUAAAACAUCAUGAUUUUUUUAGAAUUGUCAAGCAUUAUGAUAAAAAUGAAUUCUUAUAUUUACUCAUGCCAAGA